rnacentral:rRNA from 1 species
ACGAACGCUGGCGGCUGCUUAACACAUGCAAGUCGAACGGAGUGGCGAACGGGUGAGUAACGCGUGAGCAACCUGCCUAUGACAGUGGGAUCGCCUCGGGAAACCGGGAUUAAUACCGCAUAGUCAUAGAUGGGCUCGGGUCUGUUUAGCUAGUUGGUGAGAUAACAGCCCACCAAGGCGACUAUCAGUAGCCGGUCUGAGAGGAUGAGCGGCCACAUGUGAACUGAGAAACGGUCGAAACUCUUACGGGAGGCAGCAGUGGGGAAUAUUGCACAAUGGGGGAAACCAUGAUGCAGCGAGGCCGCGUAAACGAAGAAGGUAUUCGUAUCGUAAAGUUCUGGCCUAUGGGAAGCAGUACCAUAGAAGAAAGCUCCGGCUAAAUACGUGCCAGCAGCCGCGGUAAUUC